GUAACAUGCUGUGGAGGUCCGAACCAGUUUCCGUUGAAAAGGAUUUGGAUGACUUGAGGGUAGGGGUGAAAGGCCAAUCAAACUAGGAAAUAGCUCGUACUCCCCGAAAUGUAUUGAGGUACAGCGUCGUGGUUAGGUGCUGUGGAGGUAGAGCUACCAAUAGGACUAGGGGGUGUCAGAGCCUACCGAAUCCUGAUGAACUCCGAAUGCCACAGCAUUCAUACACGGCAGUGAGGCCUGGGGUGCUAAGGUCCCCGGCCGAGAGGGAAAGAACCCAGACCCGCCGCUAAGGUCCCUAAGUUCUAGCUAAGUUGAACAAAGGAGGUCCAGUUGCUUUGACAGCCAGGAGGUUGGCUUGGAAGCAGCCAUUCCUUUAAAGAGUGCGUAACAGCUCACUGGUCGAGCGACCGGGCAUCGAUAAUACGCGGGCAUCAAGCUAGGCACCGAAGCGCGGGAUUUGCAUGAAUUUGCAAGUGGUAGGGGAGCAUUCUGGUUGCG
rnacentral:rRNA from 1 species